UACGUAGGGUGCAAGCGUUGUCCGGAAUUAUUGGGCGUAAAGAGCUCGUAGGCGGUUUGUCGCGUCGGAUGUGAAAACCUGAGGCUCAACCUCGGGCCUGCAUUCGAUACGGGCAGACUAGAGUACUGUAGGGGAGACUGGAAUACCUGGUGUAGCGGUGAAAUGCGCAGAUAUCAGGUGGAACACCGGUGGCGAAGGCGGGUCUCUGGGCAGUAACUGACGCUGAGGAGCGAAAGCGUGGGGAGCAAACAGG
rnacentral:rRNA from 1 species